UGGGGCGUAAUCAAACGUUAAGGCAGCGGUUUUUGGUGCCGCCAUCUCCUGAUUCGAAUCCGGGCGCCCCAGCCA
rnacentral:tRNA from 1 species